AUGUCCUCUUCGGGAUAUGUCGUGGUUCCUCGGUGCUCGGUGAUCUUUGAUGGCACCAAUUAUGCUGAGUUUGUGGGCUUCAUGCGCAUCCAUAUGUGUGAACUCCUUUUGUGCGGGGUUCUCUCUGGCGAGGUCCCCUGUCCGCCAUGUCCGGUGGCACCCGUGGCCCCAAUCCCACCCGUGCCGCCGGUCCUUGCUGCUGAUGCCUCUCAGGCUGACCGAGAUGCUGCCAAGGCUCUGGAUGAUGUUGCGGUUGAUGCUUAUGAUCAGCAGGUAUCCACUUAUUUCGAUGCUCUCUCUGUGUACCGGGAUGAUCUGUCUACUUACACUCAGUGGUGCAAUGAUGAUGCUCGAGCUGCUGUUGUUCUCACUGCGAGUGUUCUUCCUCAGUUUGCUUCGGAGUUCAUGGGACUUGGCACUGUUGCAGCGAUGUGGUCUUACCUCUAUCAGCGCUAUCAGCCCUCUGGUGAUGCUCUCUACCUAUCUGUCGUGCGUCAGGAGCAUGCACUCCAGCAAGGUGAUUCCUCUGUUGAUGAGUUCUAUUCACAGUGCUCUGCCAUCUGGCGUCAGCUUGACUCCCUUUGGACAGUUGUUUGUGGCACCUGUCGUUGCUGUCAGACUACUCGGUCUGAUCUGGAGUUUCAGCGGGUCCAUGAGUUCUUGUCACGUCUCCGCUCUGAGUUUGAACCGCGACGUGCUCACUUGCUUGCUCGUGGCCAUGUUCCUAUCUCGGAGGUGCUUGCUGAGCUUCGUGCUGAAGAGACCCGCCUUCGCUCUGCUGGAUUGCUGGUGGUCCUGUCUGUGUUGGCUGCUCGUGCUCCUGUGUCAUCUGCUCGGCUCACCGCUCCACCGCUCCUCCCCACACCUUCAGGGGGGUGA
rnacentral:rRNA from 1 species